rnacentral:tmRNA from 1 species
GGGGAUGUAAUGGUUUCGACAUGUUACUAGAAGAAUAGAUAGCAAGUAGUGGAUGGUCGCUUUGGCCACUUAAAAAAAGCGAAAAUAAAAAUAAACGCUGAUAAUCAAGAAUUAGCAUUAGCUGCCUAGAUGCAGUUACGCUUAUACCAAUUGCCCCAACCUUUUAGUAUAGGUGUCAUAUUAGUUGGGAAACAAAGCUACUUUUGCUUUUAAGGUAGCAGGUAAUUUAAAAAGCUAUACCAUUAUUUAUCCUGUUUGUCGGAGAAAUAAUGAUGAAUAAAAAAGAUAAACUAAACUUGUAGAAGUCUAUUGGGAAGGUAAUAUGGACAGGAGUUCGACUCUCCUCAUCUCCACCA